rnacentral:rRNA from 1 species
GACCUGCGGAGGUCAUUACUGAACUGUCAACACGAGUUGUUGCUGGUCCUCAAAUGGGGGCAUGUGCACGCUCUGUUUUCAAAUCCACUCACACCUGUGCACCCUAUGUAGUUCUAUGGCUCGGGGGGGCUCUGUCCCCCUGCUGUGGUUCUAUGUUUUUACACACACUCUGUAAUGAAGUCUUAUGGAAUGUAUGUCGCGUUUAACGCAAUACAAUACAACUUUCAGCAACGGAUCUCUUGGCUCUCGCAUCGAUGAAGAACGCAGCGAAAUGCGAUAAGUAAUGUGAAUUGCAGAAUUCAGUGAAUCAUCGAAUCUUUGAACGCACCUUGCGCCCUUUGGCCAUUCCGAAGGGCAUGCCUGUUUGAGUAUCAUGAACACCUCAACUCUCAUGGUUUGCCAUGACGAGCUUGGACUUUGGGGGUCUUGCUGGCCUUUUGGUCAGCUCCUCUCAAAUGAAUUAGCUUUCCAGUGUCUGGUGGCAUCACGAGUGUGAUAAAUAUCUACGCUUGUGGUUUCCUGCCAGGUAACCUUCAGUGAUGGAGGUUCGCUGGGGCUCAUAAAUGUCUCUCCUCAGCGAAGACAGCUUUGUGAACGUUUGAUCUCAAAUCAGGUAGGACUACCCGCUGAACUUAA